UGUCGGACAGUGCAUCUGCUGUAGCUUGUCGUCCUGACUGCUCGUUGACAGAUUCCCUAGUCCCACUAAAGUGUCACGGCCCGCCGUUAUUCCCAGCUGAGAAAAGAUCCCUGCAAGUGUACUUGACUGGCUGUAUGUGUCUAACACGUCUGCAAGCACCAACUGAAGCGGAUUGUUUGAAGCGUGCAAUCAUUACCCGGAGCUGAUGGUCUGUGGUGUGACGGCCUUCCUCUUCAACCAUCAUAAGCUGCUUGAAGUAGCAGCUUCGACAAAAUGUGUCUGUGUCUCUGAUUCUUAUCCCUUUAUCGACUCGGAGGAGAUGCUCAACAACCAUAUAAUUUGGACACUUCCGUUUAGCCUCGUAAUUGCGGAAAUGCUUUCUACACCAGCCACAGCGCUCUUCUUCCCCAUACCUUCUUUUGCUUGUUCAGAAUCGU